ensembl:snoRNA Gm25517 small nucleolar RNA SNORA5
UGCAGUCGAAUCAAAUUCAGCUUCCAUCCUUUCAUGGUGGGAGCUGGCCCGGAUGGCUGCCACAGCAAACUCUGCUGCUCAUGGGCCCUGCUCUCUAUAUUGGGACCCAGGGAUAAGGUUGGCUGCAGACAAAA